UGCAUGUGGCCCUGGAGCUAUGGAUAUGUGCUGGAGAGAUAUAAUGACUGUGUACCAAUGCCUAGUUUUGUUGCAAGUGUCAAAAAAAAGAAAUGAUGGAGAAGGAAAACCGAAGAAGUAUAUUGAAUGAUUUAGUUUUCAUUGCUGUCCACGAUGGUCGUUAUGUGAUCUUUAACAACUAUUACACUUAACCACUGCAAAGUACUCCAUCAAAGAGAGAAGAAAAAAGGGAUAAGGGAGGUAUGUCAUAUUAUUAACCAUUCUGAUGAAUCAUUAAAUGCCCCUGAUUACCAGUAAAUGCAUCACCAUUUCUAACUCUAUGAUUACAAACUGGCAAAACAGAGCACAGUGCACCACAACAUCAUGCAUGCUGUUUUUAUUCUAACUGAAUGAGUGAAUAUACCCAUAAGUCUUUACAGUAGAUAGUUAUUCUCAGUAGGUGAACAAAUUAACUUUUUAGUUGUUUUAGAAUCGUCUACACUCAUUCAUGAACUUUAUACAUUAUACCACACUACCCUGAUCAACAACUACCUCUGUCUGGCAUUACAGAACAACUCUGACUUUUAAGUAGAUGGUGAAACACAACAUAGUAUUUACUAAAACAUAUGGGGAGAUUACUAAAAGGUAAAAUGCCAGAAUCUGGAGACAGUGUUUGAAGAAUACAGUCUUAAAAAACAAUAGAAUUGUUUAAAUCCACAGCUAUUUUAAGGUCCCAUCACCUAAAGGUAAAUGCUUUGCAUUACUGGACAUGUACUUCAGGACUAGACUGUUUUUU